GGAGAGGUGCUGGAGCGGUUUAACAGGCACGCCUGGAAAGCGUGUAUACCGCAAGGUAUCGAGGGUUCGAAUCCCUCCCUCUCCG
rnacentral:tRNA from 3 species